rnacentral:rRNA from 1 species
GACGAACGCUGGCGGCGUGCUUAACACAUGCAAGUCGAACGGAAAGGCCCUGCUUUUGUGGGGUGCUCGAGUGGCGAACGGGUGAGUAACACGUGAGUAACCUGCCCCUGACUUUGGGAUAACUUCAGGAAACUGGGGCUAAUACCGGAUAGCAGCUCCUGCUGCAUGGUGGGGGUUGGAAAGUUUCGGCGGUUGGGGAUGGACUCGCGGCUUAUCAGCUUGUUGGUGGGGUAGUGGCUUACCAAGGCUUUGACGGGUAGCCGGCCUGAGAGGGUGACCGGCCACAUUGGGACUGAGAUACGGCCCAGACUCCUACGGGAGGCAGCAGUGGGGAAUAUUGCACAAUGGGCGGAAGCCUGAUGCAGCAACGCCGCGUGCGGGAUGACGGCCUUCGGGUUGUAAACCGCUUUCGCCUGUGACGAAGCGUGAGUGACGGUAAUGGGUAAAGAAGCACCGGCUAACUACGUG